GAUGAACGCUAGCGGAAGGCUUAAUACAUGCAAGUCGAGCGGUAGGUGGCUUCGGCCAUUGAGAGCGGCGCACGGGUGAGUAACGCGUACAUGACCUGCCUGUCAGAAGGGGAUAGCCCUGGGAAACUGGGAUUAAUACCCUAUGGUAUUGAUAUUAUGAAUGAUAUCAAUUAAAGUUGAGGCGCUGACAGAUGGAUGUGCGUCUGAUUAGCUAGUUGGUAGGGUAACGGCCUACCAAGGCGACGAUCAGUAGGGGGCGUGAGAGCGUGGUCCCCCAGACGGGUACUGAGACACGGACCCGACUCCUACGGGAGGCAGCAGUAAGGAAUAUUGGUCAAUGCCCGCAAGGGUGAACCAGCCAAUUCCGCGUGGAGGAUGAAGGCCCCUAUGGGGUUGUAAAACUUCUUUUAGAUGGGAAGAAAAUGCUAGAUGUAUCUGGUACUGACGGUACCAUCAGAAUAAGC
rnacentral:rRNA from 1 species